GUGUGUUAACGUGUUCCUGCUGCAGGGUUUGAGAUCCCGGAUGUGGAGGCAGAGAAGCUGAUGUCUCCUCAGGAUAUCGUCCAGUACAUCGCUGACAAGAAGGACGUGUAUGAAUAACAAUGAACCGGGGAACUACUAACACCCCCAGAAGUCCUGAUGAUGCUGUCCGACUGGCUGGGCUGGGCAGCGUCUCCCUCCCCCCCGCCGCCCACCACUUCAUCGGUCCCUCUUCUCCUCCUCCGUUCUCUCUGUGGCAGCCGAUGCCAUUUUGUCUUGUGUUCCACUGUAUUUAAUGAACAUGUGUAUUUUCCUCCUGAGUUCGGGAGGUGAAUAAAUAAACAUCACUUUUAUGGUUGGA